rnacentral:rRNA from 1 species
AUUCCAGCUCCAAUAGCGUAUAUUAAAGUUGUUGCGGUUAAAAAGCUCGUAGUUGGAUUUCUGCUGAGGACGACCGGUCCGCCCUCUGGGUGAGUAUCUGGCUCGGCCUUGGCAUCUUCUUGGGGAACGUAACUGCACUUGACUGUGUGGUGCGGUAUCCAGGACUUUUACUUUGAGGAAAUUAGAGUGUUUCAAGCAGGCGCACGCCUUGAAUACAUUAGCAUGGAAUAAUAAGAUAGGACUUUGGUUCUAUUUUGUUGGUUGGAGGCCAAGGUAAUGAUUAAUAGGGAUAGUUGGGGGUAUUCAUAUUUAAUUGUCAGAGGUGAAAUUCUUGGAUUUAUGAAAGAUGAACUUAUGCGAAAGCAUUUACCAAGGAUGUUUUCAUCG